rnacentral:rRNA from 1 species
UACGUAGGGUACAAGCGUUAAUCGGAAUUACUGGGCGUAAAGCGCACGUAGGCGGAUCGAUCAGUCAGGGGUGAAAUCCCAGGGCUCAACCCUGGAACUGCCUUUGAUACUGUCGAUCUGGAGUAUGGAAGAGGUGAGUGGAAUUCCGAGUGUAGAGGUGAAAUUCGUAGAUAUUCGGAGGAACACCAGUGGCGAAGGCGGCUCACUGGUCCAUUACUGACGCUGAGGUGCGAAAGCGUGGGGAGCAAACAGG